UUGACAUCCAGAGAAUUUAGCAGAGAUGCUUUAGUGCCUUCGGGAACUCUGAGACAGGUGCUGCAUGGCUGUCGUCAGCUCGUGUUGUGAAAUGUUGGGUUAAGUCCGCAACGAGCGCAACCCUUAUCCUUUGUUGCCAGCACGUAAUGGUGGGAACUCAAAGGAGACUGCCGGUGAUAAACCGGAGGAAGGUGGGGAUGACGUCAAGUCAUCAUGGCCCUUACGAGUAGGGCUACACACGUGCUACAAUGGCGCAUACAAAGAGAAGCGACCUCGCGAGAGCAAGCGGACCCCAUAAAGUGCGUCGUAGUCCGGAUUGGAGUCUGCAACUCGACUCCAUGAAGUCGGAAUCGCUAGUAAUCGUAAAUCAGAAUGUUACGGUGAAUACGUUCCCGGGCCUUGUACACACCGCCCGUCACACCAUGGGAGUGGGUUGCAAAAGAAGUAGAUAGCUUAACCUUCGGGAGGGCGUUUACCACUUUGUGAUUCAUGACUGGGGUGAAGUCGUAACAAGGUAAGCGUAGUGCU
rnacentral:rRNA from 1 species